UCUGAAUUUUAGGUAAUCACGGUGAAAGCCCGUGGCUGUGCCGCAACUGUAAAGCCAGAAAACUAUAUUUAGG
rnacentral:ncRNA from 2 species